rnacentral:pre_miRNA from 1 species
AACCCGUAGAUCCGAACUUGUGGUGUUAAUGUGCACAAGCUUGUGUCUAUAGGUAUG